UACGGGGGGGGCAAGCGUUGUUCGGAAUUACUGGGCGUAAAGGGCUCGUAGGCGGCCAACUAAGUCAGACGUGAAAUCCCCAGGCUCAACCUGGGAACUGCGUCUGAUACUGGAUGGCUUGAAUCCGGGAGAGGGAUGCAGAAUUCCAGGUGUAGCGGUGAAAUGCGUAGAUAUCUGGAGGAAUACUGGUGGCGAAGGCGGCAUCCUGGACCGGCAUUGACGCUGAGGAGCGAAAGCCAGGGGAGCAAACGGG
rnacentral:rRNA from 1 species